rnacentral:rRNA from 1 species
UAUAGAAAAACCGUACCGCAAACCGACACUGGUAGGCAGGGUGAGAAUCCCAAGGCGCUUGAGAGAACUCGGGUGAAGGAACUAGGCAAAAUGGCACCGUAACUUCGGGAGAAGGUGCGCCCUUUGACGUGGUCACGUGCGUGACUGAGCGUUGAAGGGUCGCAGUAACCUGGCCGCUGCGACUGUUUAUCAAAAACACAGCACUCUGCAAACACGAAAGUGGACGUAUAGGGUGUGACGCCUGCCCGGUGCUGGAAGGUUAAUUGAUGGGGUCAGCCGCAAGGCGAAGCUCUUGAUCGAAGCCCCAGUAAACGGCGGCCGUAACAAUAACGGUCCUAAGGUAGCGAAAUUCCUUGUCGGGUAAGUUCCGACCUGCACGAAUGGCGUAACGACAGCGGCGCUGUCUCCACCCGAGACUCAGUGAAAUUGAAUUCGCUGUGAAGAUGCAGCGUUCCCGCGGCAAGACGGAAAGACCCCGUGAACCUUUACUAUAGCUUUACACUGAACGUUGAGUUCUUCUGUGUAGGAUAGGUGGGAGGCUUUGAAGCGCAGACGCCAGUUUGCGUGGAGCCAACCUUGAAAUACCACCCUGAAGUGCUUGACGUUCUAACCUCGGCCCGUAAUCCAGGUCAGGGACCGUGUAUGGUGGGUAGUUUGACUGGGGCGGUCUCCUCCCAAAGAGUAACGGAGGAGCACGAAGGUACGCUCAGCGCGGUCGGACAUCGCGCACUGUGUGCAAUGGCAUAAGCGUGCUUGACUGCGAGAUCGACGGAUCAAGCAGGUACGAAAGUAGGUCAUAGUGAUCCGGUGGUUCUGUAUGGAAGGGCCAUCGCUCAACGGAUAAAAGGUACUCCGGGGAUAACAGGCUGAUACCGCCCAAGAGUUCAUAUCGACGGCGGUGUUUGGCACCUCGAUGUCGGCUCAUCACAUCCUGGGGCUGUAGCCGGUCCCAAGGGUAUGGCUGUUCGCCAUUUAAAGUGGUACGCGAGCUGGGUUCAGAACGUCGUGAGACAGUUCGGUCCCUAUCUGUCGUGGGCGUUGGAGAUUUGAGGGGGGCUGCUCCUAGUACGAGAGGACCGGAGUGGACGUUCCGCUGGUGUUCGGGUUGUCAUGCCCAUGGCAUUGCCCGGUAGCUAUGAACGGAAGUGAUAACCGCUGAAAGCAUCUAAGCGGGAAGCACGCCCCAAGAUGAGAUCUCCCGAGAGCUUGACUCUCCUUAAGGCACCAUCGAGACCAGGUGGUUGAUAGGUCAGGUGUGGAAGUGCAGCAAUGCAUGGAGCUAACUGAUACUAAUGAGCCGUGAGGCUUGACC